AUGAGUCUUGGCCAGAAACUCCGGCAACGCAACAGCAGGGACGUUUUUUAGCGGCAGAGGCUUACCAGCGCAACUCAACACAGGACCAGAUAGAGCGGUGGCAGCCUCCAGCAACUCCGGCGAGCUCCCUCAACAACGAUAACGGUCGGAGCCUCGGUGGCAUUGACGAUGGCAGGAACGGCGGGGAUAGCUUCGCACGGCACGACGGCGCUUGACCCUUCCCCCACCGCGAGCUCUCUGCCUCUCGCUCUCCAUCGCGACGGCGACAGUGAGGGACACGACGAUGUGGCUCCAACGGCGCACCACCCAUCUCGCGUGUUCCCUGUACGUGAUCCCAACGGCAGCAGAUCGACGAGGAUGAGCUCCUCUAGCUCGCUUACGGCAGCUAUUUCCUCAACCCUCUUCUGCGC